rnacentral:misc_RNA from 1 species
AAGAAUGCGAUAUGCAAUGUGAAUUGCAGAACCACGAAUCAUCGUAUCUUUGAACGCGACUGGCGCUGAUUUAUCAGCAUACUUGUUUCAGUGUGCGCAAACAAAUAAACCAUAUAAAUGUGAGAGAAGAUCUCUUAUUAAAUAUAUGCUCCUUGCAGCAGUCACAUUUAUUUGUGAGCUGUACGUUGUAAACUGCCUUAUUUGCACCUGAAAUCAAGUAAGAAGACCCGCUGAACUUAA